rnacentral:rRNA from 1 species
UACAGGGGUCUCGAGCGUUGUUCGGAUUCAUUGGGCGUAAAGGGUGCGUAGGCGGCGUGGCAAGUCUGAUGUGAAAUCCCGGGGCUCAACCCCGGAACUGCAUUGGAUACUGCCAUGCUAGAGUACUGGAGAGGAGAUUGGAAUUUACGGUGUAGCAGUGAAAUGCGUAGAUAUCGUAAGGAAGACCAGUGGCGAAGGCGAAUCUCUGGACAGUUACUGACGCUGAGGCACGAAGGCCAGGGGAGCAAACAGG